UUGAGGCUGGAAAGGAGGGGAUGAAGUUUGAAGCUGGUGCCUUCUCUUAUUAUGGAGUGCUGGCUUUAACCUCCUCACCAGUUCCUCUCUCCUUGUCUCGAACCUUUGUGGUGAGCAGGGCAGAAUCGCUGGCAGGAUCUCCAG